rnacentral:tRNA from 1 species
UGCAUCGACCGGGAAUCGAACCCGGGUCACCCGCGUGGCAGGCGAGUAUUCUACCACUAGACCACCGAUGC